UACGUAGGGGGCGAGCGUUGUCCGGAGUUACUGGGCGUAAAGCGCACGCAGGCGGUUCUGCGCGUUGGCGGGGCCAGCUCGUUGCUUAACGACGGGAGGGCCGGCAAGACGGUGGGACUGGAGAGCCGUAGAGGGACCUGGAAUUCCGGGUGGAGUGGUGAAAUGCGUAGAUAUCCGGAGGAAUACCAAAGGCGAAGGCAGGGUCCUGGGCGGCGUCUGACGCUGAGGUGCGAAAGCCAGGGGAGCGAACGGG
rnacentral:rRNA from 1 species